UCUUCGAUAGUAUAGUGGUGAGUAUCUCCGCCUGUCACGCGGAAGACCGGGGUUCAAUUCCCCGUCGGGGAG
rnacentral:tRNA from 1 species